rnacentral:rRNA from 1 species
CCAGCAGCUGCGUUAAUUCCAGCUCCAAUAGCGUAUAUUAAAGUUGUUGCAGUUAAAAAGCUCGUAGUUGAAUUUCUGUACAGGACAGCCGAUCCGCCAAUGGUGUGAUUCUGGUUCGACCUGUGCAUUUUUCUGGAGAACGUUUCUGCACUUGAUUGUGUGGGGCGGUAUCCAGGAGUUUUACUUUGAGAAAAUUAGAGUGUUUCAAGCAGGCGUCUGCCUUGAAUACUACAGCAUGGAAUAAUAACAUAGGACUUUGGUUCUAUUUUGUUGGUUUCUAGAACCGAAGUAAUGAUUAAUAGGGAUAGUUGGGGGCAUUCGUAUUUGACUGUCAGAGGUGAAAUUCUUGGAUUUGUCAAAGACGAACUACUGCGAAAGCAUUUGCCAAGGAUGUUUUCA